rnacentral:rRNA from 1 species
CCUACGGGUGGCAGCAGUGGGGAAUAUUGCACAAUGGGGGAAACUCUGAUGCAGCAACGCCGCGUGAGUGAAGACGUCUCUCGGUAUGUUAAGCUCUAUCUGUACGGAAGUAAACGACGGUACCUGUGUCAGAAUCCCCGUCUAACUACGUGCCAGCAGCAGCGGUAAUAUGUCGGGGGCAGGCGUUAUCCGGAUUUACUGGGUGUAAAGGGAGCGUAGACGGUGAGACAGGUCGGAAGUGAAAGCCCGGGGCUCAACCCCGGGACUGCUGUGGAAACUGGCUGGCUGGAGUGCUGGGGAGGCAGGCGGAAUUCCUGGUGUAGCGGUGAAAUGCGUAGAUAUCAGGAAGAACACCAGUUGCGAAGGCAGCUUGCUGGACAGUAACUGACGUUGAGGCUCGAAAGCGUGGGGAGCGAACAGGAUUAGAUACCCGAGUAGUC